rnacentral:misc_RNA from 1 species
AAGUCGUAACAAGGUUUCCGUAGGUGAACCUGCGGAAGGAUCAUUAACGAGUUUUGAAAUGGGUUGUUGCUGGCCUUCCGAGGCAUGUGCACGCCCUGCUCAUCCACUCUACACCUGUGCACUCACUGUAGGUUGGCGUGGGUUUCUAGCCUCCGGGUUGGAAGCAUUCUGCCGGCCUAUGUACACUACAAACUCUUAAAGUAUCAGAAUGUAAACGCGUCUAACGCAUCUUAAUACAACUUUCAGCAACGGAUCUCUUGGCUCUC